GGACAGGCAGGGCAGGCCUCUGGAUACAGGACAGGCCGGGCAGGCCUCUGGAUACAGGACAGGCCGGGCAGACCUCUGGAUACAGGAUAGGCAGGGCAGACCUCUGGAUACAGGACAGGCAGGGCAGGCCUCUGGAUACAGGACAGGCCUCUGGAUACAGGACAGGCAGGGCAGGCCUCUGGAUACAGGACAGGCCGGGCAGGCCUCUAGAUACAGGACAGGCCGGGCAGGCCUCUGGAUACAGGACAGGCAGGGCAGGCCUCUGGAUACAGAGCAGGCAGGGCAGAACUCUGGAUACAGGACAGGCAGGGCAGGCCUCUGGAUACAGGACAGGCAGGGCAGGCCUCUGGAUACAGGGCAGGCCUCUGGAUACAGGACAGGCAGGGCAGGCCUCUGGAUACAGGACAGGCAGGGCAGGCUCUGGAUACAGGACAG